rnacentral:rRNA from 1 species
AUACGAAGGGGGCAAGCGUUGUUCGGAAUAACUGGGCGUAAAGCGCACGUAGGCGGAAUGUUAAGUUAGAGGUGAAAUCCCAGGGCUCAACCCUGGAACUGCCUCUAAUACUGGCAAUCUAGAGACCGAGAGAGGUGAGUGGAAUUCCGAGUGUAGAGGUGAAAUUCGUAGAUAUUCGGAGGAACACCAGUGGCGAAGGCGGCUCACUGGCUCGGUACUGACGCUGAGGUGCGAAAGCGUGGGGAGCAAACAGGAUUAGAAACCCUAGUAGUCC